rnacentral:ncRNA from 1 species
GGGAUAGAGGUCGCGCCUGUUAUCAGUAUCUUAUCGGACAUGACUUGCAUGGAUGAUGUUAAGCGAAAGGAACCGGCGCCGAAAGGGCAGGAUCAAGUUAACUGCCGCUUGGGCAUAUAUCGAACAGGUAUAUGACUGUCAUUGCGACAUUGUCGAGAUGGGGAGCUAUCA